CCUACGGGAUGCAGCAGUGAGGAAUAUUGGUCAAUGGGCUUACGCCUGAACCAGCCAAGUCGCGUGAGGGAAGACUGCCCUAUGGGUUGUAAACCUCUUUUGUCAGGGAGCAACGCCGGCUACGUGUAGCCGGACUGAGAGUACCUGAAGAAAAAGCAUCGGCUAACUCCGUGCCAGCAGCCGCGGUAAUACGGAGGAUGCGAGCGUUAUCCGGAUUUAUUGGGUUUAAAGGGUGCGUAGGCGGAAUGCCAAGUCAGCGGUCAAAUCGCGGGGCUCAACCUCGCUCCGCCGUUGAAACUGGCGUUGUUGAGUGGGCGAGAAGUAUGCGGAAUGCGUGGUGUAGCGGUGAAAUGCAUAGAUAUCACGCAGAACUCCGAUUGCGAAGGCAGCAUACCGGCGCCCAACUGACGCUGAAGCACGAAAGCGUGGGUAUCGAACAGGAGUAGAUACCCUAGUAGUC
rnacentral:rRNA from 1 species